rnacentral:rRNA from 1 species
CCUACGGGGGGCUGCAGUGAGGAAUAUUGGUCAAUGGGCGCGAGCCUGAACCAGCCAAGUAGCGUGAAGGAUGACUGCCCUACGGGUUGUAAACUUCUUUUAUAAGGGAAUAAAGUGAGGCACGUGUGCCUUUUUGUAUGUACUUUAUGAAUACGGAUCGGCUAACUCCGUGCCAGCAGCCGCGGAAAUACGGAGGAUCCGUGCGUUAUCCGGAUUUAGUGGGUUAAGGGGGAGCGUAGAGGUGUUGUAAAGUCGGUUGUGAAAGUUUGCGGCUAAACCGUAAAAUUGCAAUUGAGACGGGCAGUCUGGAGUACGGUUGGGGUAGGCGAAAUCCGUGGUG